UCUGGGCUAGUAGAGUGGCGACGGGUGAGUAACACGUGGACAACCUGCCCGGAUGUGGGGGACAACUUUUGGAAACGGAAGCUAAUACCGCAUUCUCUCUCGGACCGCAUGGUCCUUGAGCAAAGGCCGCUUCGGCGGUCGCAUUCGGAGGGGUCCGCGGCUGAUUAGCUAGUUGGUGGGGUAACGGCCUACCAAGGCGACGAUCAGUAGCCGGCCUGAGAGGGCGAUCGGCCACACUGGAACUGAGACACGGUCCAGACUCCUACGGGAGGCAGCAGUGGGGAACAUUGGACAAUGGGGGAAACCCUGAUCCAGCAACGCCGCGUGGAGGAUGAAGGCCCUCGGGUUGUAAACUCCUGUCAGGUGGAACGAAAAGCUCUAUCUAAUAAAUAGAGUGUAUGACGGUACCGCCAGAGGAAGCCCCGGCUAACUCCGUGCCAGCAGCCGCGGUAAUACGGAGGGGGCAAGCGUUAUUCGGAAUUAUUGGGCGUAAAGGGCGCGUAGGCGGUCUUUUAAGUCAGUGGUGAAAUCCCUCGGCUCAACCGAGGAACUGCCUCUGAAACUGAAAGACUUGAGACCGGGAGAGGGUAGUGGAAUUCCCAGUGUAGCGGUGAAAUGCGUAGAUAUUGGGAGGAACACCGGUGGCGAAGGCGGCUACCUGGACCGGUUCUGACGCUGAGGCGCGAAAGUGUGGGGAGCAAACAGGAUUAGAUACCCUGGUAGUCCACACUGUAAACGAUGAGCACUCGGUGCUACGGGUGUCGACCCCUGUAGUGCCUUAGGAAACCCGUUAAGUGCUCCGCCUGGGGAGUACGGUCGCAAGGCUGAAACUCAAAGGAAUUGACGGGGGCCCGCACAAGCGGUGGAGCAUGUGGUUUAAUUCGAUGCAACGCGCAGAACCUUACCUGGGCUUGAACUGUAGAGGACCGUCCGAGAGACGGGACUUCUCCUUCGGGAGCUUCUAUAGAGGUGCUGCAUGGCUG
rnacentral:rRNA from 1 species